rnacentral:rRNA from 1 species
UACGUAGGGGGCAAGCGUUGUCCGGAUUUAUUGGGCGUAAAGAGCGUGUAGGCGGUCAGGUAGGUCCGUUGUGAAAACUCGAGGCUCAACCUCGAGACGCCGAUGGAAACCAUCUGACUAGAGUCCGGAAGAGGAGAGUGGAAUUCCUGGUGUAGCGGUGAAAUGCGCAGAUAUCAGGAAGAACACCCGUGGCUAAGGCGGCUCUCUAGUACGGUACUGACGCUGAGACGCGAAGGCGUGGGGAGCAAACAGG